rnacentral:rRNA from 1 species
GAAGGCGGGGAUGACGUCAAGUCCUCAUGGCCCUUACGGGCUGGGCUACACACGUGCUACAAUGGUGGUGACAGUGGGCAGCGAGACGGCAACGUCGAGCUAAUCUCCAAAAACCAUCUCAGUUCGGAUUGGGGUCUGCAACUCGACCCCAUGAAGUUGGAAUCGCUAGUAAUCGCGGAUCAGCAUGCCGCGGUGAAUACGUUCCCGGGCCUUGUACACACCGCCCGUCACACCAUG